rnacentral:lncRNA from 1 species
AUGCACAAGUCCUAUCUAAAUCCACCACGAUGUGUGCCAAGCCCAGUAAAGAUGCACAAGUCCUAUCUAAAUCCACCACGAUGUGUGCCAAGCCCAGUAAAGAUGCACAAGUCCUAUCUAAAUCCACCACGAUGUGUGCCAAACCCAGUAAAGAUGCACAAGUCCUAUCUAAAUCCACCACGAUGUGUGCCAACCCAGUAAAGAUGCACAAGUCCUAUCUAAAUCCACCACGAUGUGUGCCAAGCCCAGUAAAGAUGCACAAGUCCUAUCUAAAUCCACCACGAUGUGUGCCAAGCCCAGUAAAGAUGCACAAGUCCUAUCUAAAUCCACCACGAUGUGUGCCAAGCCCAGUAAAGAUGCACAAGUCCUAUCUAAAUCCACCACGAUGUGUGCCAAACCCAGUAAAGAUGCACAAGUCCUAUCUAAAUCCACCACGAUGUGUGCCAAACCCAGUAAAGAUGCACAAGUCCUAUCUAAAUCCACCACGAUGUGUGCCAAGCCCAGUAAAGAUGCACAAGUCCUAUCUAAAUCCACCACGAUGUGUGCCAAACCCAGUAAAGAUGCACAAGUCCUAUCUAAAUCCACCACGAUGUGUGCCAAGCCCAGUAAAGAUGCACAAGUCCUAUCUAAAUCCACCACGAUGUGUGCCAAGCCCAGUAAAGAUGCACAAGUCCUAUCUAAAUCCACCACGAUGUGUGCCAAGCCCAGUUAAGAUGCACAAGUCCUAUCUAAUCCACCACGAUGUGUGCCAAGCCCAGUAAAGAUGCACAAGUCCAAUCUAAAUCCACCACGAUGUGUGCCAAGACCAGUAAAGAUGCACAAGUUCAAUCUAAAUCCACCACGAUGUGUGCCAAGCCCAGUAAAGAUGCACAAGUCCUAUCUAAAUCCACCACGAUGUGUGCCAAGCCCAGUAAAGAUGCACAAGUCCUAUCUAAAUCCACCACGAUGUGUGCCAAGACCAGUAAAGAUGCACAAGUCCUAUCUAAAUCCACCACGAUGUGUGCCAAGCCCAGUAAAGAUGCACAAGUCCUAUCUAAAUCCACCACGAUGUGUGCCAAGACCAGUAAAGAUGCACAAGUCCUAUCUAAAUCCACCA